UACGGGGGGGGCAAGCGUUGUUCGGAAUUACUGGGCGUAAAGGGUUUGUAGGUGGCUCGCUAAGUCAGACGUGAAAUCCCUCAGCUUAACUGGGGAACUGCGUCUGAGACUGGUGAGCUUGAGUGCAGGAGAGGAACGCGGAAUUCCAGGUGUAGCGGUGAAAUGCGUAGAUAUCUGGAGGAACACCGGUGGCGAAGGCGGCGUUCUGGACUGCAACUGACACUGAGGAACGAAAGCCAGGGGAGCAAACGGG
rnacentral:rRNA from 1 species